GCUUGAGCAGACCACGAAACACGAGAAGAACAAAAUAGAUUUUGCAGUUGGAAGGGGCAUUGUGGUCAACGUAAAAAGUAAGACCUAUGAUUGAUUUCGCUGUUCUUCCCCACACCAAAUCUUAAAUAACGGAAAUAAGACGACCCUUCAUGUUGGAAAUUGGGUAUAUAGAAUUGAAAAGCCAGCGAAAUAGAUUCCACGAAAUUUCAAUUCCUUGCUUUUCCAAAUUGUUUAUUUUUAUUCUAACUUAAGAUCAGCGAUAACCAUUGCACGCAGAUCAGCAUCUCUGCUUUCUCAUAUCCAAAUCAAAAUCAAUCCUUCUUUAGUCUAUCAUUCUUCCAAAGCAGAGCUUAUUGAAGAGCUAUGCUGCACAAGAGCUUCAAGCCAGCGAAAUGUAAAACGGCUUUGAAG
rnacentral:misc_RNA from 1 species